GAUGAACGCUGGCGGCGUGCCUAAUACAUGCAAGUCGAGCGAAUGGAUUAAGAGCUUGCUCUUAUGAAGUUAGCGGCGGACGGGUGAGUAACACGUGGGUAACCUGCCCAUAAGACUGGGAUAACUCCGGGAAACCGGGGCUAAUACCGGAAAACAUUUUGAACCGCAUGGAUCGAAAUUGAAAGGCGGCUUCGGCUGUCACUUAUGGAUGGACCCGGGUCGCAUUAGCUAGUUGGUGAGGUAACGGCUAACCAAGGCAACGAUGCGUAGCCGACCUGAGAGGGUGAUCGGCCACACUGGGACUGAGACACGGCCCAGACUCCUACGGGAGGCAGCAGUAGGGAAUCUUCCGCAAUGGACGAAAGUCUGACGGAGCAACGCCGCGUGAGUGAUGAAGGCUUUCGGGUCGUAAAACUCUGUUGUUAGGGAAGAACAAGUGCUAGUUGAAUAAGCUGGCACCUUGACGGUACCUAACCAGAAAGCCACGGCUAACUACGUGCCAGCCGCCGCUGUAA
rnacentral:rRNA from 1 species